ensembl:lncRNA
AUUAUCUUCUUGGAGACUCCUUCCUUUGGGGUGUUUCAUCAGACCUAAUCCUCAGAAAGGGGGAAGAGAGCUGCAGAGAAGCAACGAGUACCUCCUGGCCUCCUCUACUCCAGACUGGACAGCCCAAUGUCCUCAGCACCUUCUCACAGGACAUACCUUCCAACUCUGUCACAAGUUUGUUGCCCUCCUCUGGAGGCUUUUGAGGACUUCAGCGUCCUUUUUCAUGCUGUGGAGCCCAGAACUGCAUGCAAUAUUCAAGGUGAGGCUGCACCAACACUAUAGCAGGACAAUCUCCUGCUUUGACUGGCUGUGCUGUGCAUAAUGCACCCCAUAAUGCAGUUUGCCCUCUUCCUUGGCAAGGUGCACUGCUGGUUCAUGUGAGCCUGCUGUCACCAGCAACCCCAGACCUCUUGCUGCAGGGCUAUGCUCCAGCUACUUAUCUCCCAGUUUGUACUGUCUGGCAUUAUUCUGUCCCAGGUGCAGCGCCCAACCUUUAUACCUUUGCUGAAUUGUCCAAUCUUUCAAUCUAUAUAUAUCCCUCUACAAGGUCUCUUGUUGCUUCAGGGAGUCAACAGUACUUCCUGCUUUGGUGUCACAUGGCAAACUUGCGAGGAUGCAUUCAACUCCUGCAUCCAGAUUACUAAUAAAAAUGCUGAAUAUAUCUGGCCCUGGAAUUGAGCCUUUGGUGACUGCCUGCCAGCCAGAUGUAACACCACUCAGUAGUAGGCCUUUUGAGACCUGUCAUUCAGCCAGUUCCUCACACUGUCAGUGUGAACCUACAGGGUGUGUCAACAGCACCUCCCAGUUUAAGGUUAUCAGGAAACUCACAGAAGAUGUGCUCCACUCCUGCAUAUGGAUCAUUUAUAAAAAUAUUGAAUAGAACUGGUCCUACAUUGCUAGAACAUUGCUAGUGACUGGCCAGUAGAACCCCAUUGCUGAGAAGGGCUCUGCUACUGAAAUCAUUCAUUAGCCAGCACAGCAUGAGCCAGUUUUUUUUUCUCCCAGGUGGGCAAUUUGUCCAGAAGGAUACAGUGAAGGAUGGUACAAAAGGCUUUACUGAAAUAAAUAAAAAAAAAAUUACAUCACCCACUUUCUUGUCAUGUGGAUGACCUUAUCAUGGAAGGAGAUCAAACUACCAAUCCUUCAUGAGCCUGUUAACAUUGUUCUUUAAGUGCUAUUUUUUAUCUUCCAGGACAAUAUUCUCUGUAACUUUUCCAGGAAUGGAGGUUAACAGUCCAUAGUUUCCUGGUUCUUCUCCUAUGCCCUUUUUGCUGCGAAGUAUAAUGCUAGCUUGCUUCCAGUCAGCUGGGGUCCUUCCCAAACUCCCAAGAGCUUUGGUAAAUUAUUGAAUAGAUCCACUUAUAGUGUACACUAAAUCCUUCCUCACUAGAGGUUGAAUCCUUUCUGGCUCCAUGGACUUAGGAAUAUUCAGUUGAUACUACUGUUCCCUUAUGAUUUUGAUGACUCAAGAUGGAAAGUCACUGAUCCUCUAGUUACAGUCCUCCAAGUCAGAGGACUGGGUAUCCCAAGAUCUGUCACUACUAUUAAGCACAGAGGCAGAAAAGGAAUUACAGGCCUGCACUUUAUCCUCUUCCUUACUUUAUAGGUGAACAGCUACUCCUAGUAUCAGUUCAGUCUUUUCCUUGGACUUCCUCAUGCUGUUGACUUACAUAAAAAUGACUGGCCAAUGUUAAC